rnacentral:rRNA from 1 species
CGAUCUCAAAUCAAGUAAGACUACCCGCUGAACUUAAGCAUAUCAAUA